rnacentral:lncRNA from 1 species
GGCUGAACUCAAGCCAGAGGAAACGUGACCUGGGGAUGAGUCCGUGUGAGAGCACGUACGCACCAAAGUGUUUGUGGCCAGAGUUCACUCCAGAGCAGGUACACCUCAAAGCACCUAUGGCCAUGGAGAAGUGCAUGCUGCAGGAGGUACACCUUGCAACAUCCAUGUCUGUGGAUAAAGCCAUGCUAGAGUACCUAGAAGUGUCUGUGGGUGUGGAUAAGACCAUAACACAGCAAGUGUCUGAGGAAACCUCUGAAGGGACUGUGGCAAAUGGAACAGGCCAUGCCACAGCCAGUACACCUCAAUGUGACUGUGGCUGUGGCACAUCAGAACAAGUAGACCUCAUAGCAUCUACGACUGAUGACACAAAAACUAACCCUGCUGCUCAUUUCUUUUCACACGUAAGGAUUGAAAGACUUAAAAAAGACCACCACGAGGCGGGAAGAGCUGGAACAGAAGCUAAAGUCAGGCUAAAGGGCAGCAAAAGUGAUCCCUACAGAACUUUGCCUCAUGCAGAGUUGGACUGCAGCUGACUUCUUUCUGCAGGGAGCAUCCAUGUGUGCAGUCUGGUGUGAGUGGAAGGAGCAGGUAGAGGUGAGCCAGACAGGGAGCAGC